AACAGGAUUAGAUACCCUGGUAGUCCAUGCCGUAAACGAUGUCUACUAGCCGUUGGGGCCUUUGAGGCUUUAGUGGCGCAGCUAACGCGAUAAGUAGACCGCCUGGGGAGUACGGUCGCAAGACUAAAACUCAAAUGAAUUGACGGGGACCCGCACAAGCGGUGGAUGAUGUGGUUUAAUUCGAUGCAACGCGAAAAACCUUACCUACCCUUGACAUGUCAAGAAUCUUGCAGAGAUGUGAGAGUGCUCGAAAGAGAACUUGAACACAGGUGCUGCAUGGCCGUCGUCAGCUCGUGUCGUGAGAUGUUGGGUUAAGUCCCGCAACGAGCGCAACCCUUGUCAUUAGUUGCUACGAAAGGGCACUCUAAUGAGACUGCCGGUGACAAACCGGAGGAAGGUGGGGAUGACGUCAGGUCCUCAUGGCCCUUAUGGGUAGGGCUACACACGUCAUACAAUGGCCGGUACAGAGGGCUGCCAACCCGCGAGGGGGAGCCAAUCCCAGAAAACCGGUCGUAGUCCGGAUCGCAGUCUGCAACUCGACUGCGUGAAGUCGGAAUCGCUAGUAAUCGCGGAUCAGCUUGCCGCGGUGAAUACGUUCCCGGGUCUUGUACACACCGCCCGUCACACCAUGGGAGCGGGUUCCGCCAGAAGUAGUUAGCCUAACCGCAAGGGGGGCGAUUACCACGGCGGGGUUCGUGACUGGGGUGAAGUCGUAACAAGGUAACC
rnacentral:rRNA from 1 species